rnacentral:rRNA from 1 species
UCCAUGCCGUAAACGAUGGGUACUAGGUGUUGGAGGAUUCUACCCCUUCAGUGCCGCAGCUAACGCAUUAAGUACCCCACCUGGGGAGUACGAUCGCAAGGUUGAAACUCAAAGGAAUUGACGGGGGCCCGCACAAGCGGUGGAGCAUGUGGUUUAAUUCGAUGCAACGCGAAGAACCUUACCUGGACUUGACAUGCAGGGGACAGGUGUAGAAAUACACCCUUCUUCGGACUCCUGUACAGGUGCUGCAUGGCUGUCGUCAGCUCGUGUCGUGAAAUGUUAGGUUAAGUCCUGCAACGAGCGCAACCCCUGUCUUUAGUUGCCAACACGUAAUGGUGGGAACUCUAGAGAGACUGCCGGUGAUAAACCGGAGGAAGGUGGGGACGACGUCAAGUCAUCAUGGCCCUUACGUCCAGGGCUACACACGUGCUACAAUGGUCGGUACAAAGGGCAGCAAUACAGUGAUGUGGAGCGAAUCCCAAAAA